rnacentral:rRNA from 1 species
GAUAAACGCUGGCGGCGUGCCUAACACAUGCAAGUCGAACGUCUUGCUGGUUCUUCGGAACCGGUAGGGAGUGGCGGACGGGUGAGUAACACGUGGGUAACCUGCCCCAAAGUGAGGAAUACCGGCGAGAAAUCGCCGACAAGACCGCAUAGGCUUGCGGCUCGAGGGAGUGGCAAGCAAAGCUCUCCGCAAGGAGGGCGCUUUGGGAGGGGCUCGCGGCCGAUUAGCUGGUUGGUGAGGGAAGAGCUCACCAAGGCGACGAUCGGUAGCUGGUCUG